rnacentral:rRNA from 1 species
ACUCCUACGGAAGGCAGCAGUGGGGAAUAUUGGACAAUGGGGCGAAAGCCUGAUCCAGCAAUACCGCGUGAAUGAUGAAGGCCUUAGGGUUGUAAAGUUCUUUUAGUUGGAAAGAUAAUGACGGUACCAACAGAAAAAGCCCCGGCUAACUCCGUGCCAGCAGCCGCGGUAAU